CCCUUAGAUGUUCUGGGCUGCACGCGCGCUACACUGAAGCGUUCAACGAGUAUUCACCUUGCCCGGGAGGGUUGGGUAAUCUUUUCAAAACGCUUCGUGAUGGGGAUAGAUUAUUGCAAUUAUUAAUCUUCAACGAGGAAUUCCUAGUAAGCGCGAGUCAUCAGCUCGUGCUGAUUACGUCCCUGCCCUUUGUACACACCGCCCGUCGCUCCUACCGAUUGAAUGAUCCGAUGAAUAUCAUGGAUUGAGGAUGCAAGUAGGUUCGCCUAUCUUCAUCUUCGAGAAGUGAAGUAAAUCUUAUCAUUUAGAGGAAGGAGAAGUCGUAACA
rnacentral:rRNA from 1 species